AACGAACGCUGGCGGCAUGCCUAACACAUGCAAGUCGAACGAGACCUUCGGGUCUAGUGGCGCAAGGGUGCGUAACGCGGGGGAACCUGCCGUUAGGUUCGGAAUAACUCCUCGAAAGGGGUGCUAAUACCGGAUAAUGUCCUCGGACCAAAGAUUUAUCGCCUUUGUAUGGGCCCGCGUUGUAUUAGCUAGUUGGUAGGGUAAAAGCCUACCAAGGCUAAGAUCCAUAGCUGGUCUGAGAGGCUGAUCAGCCACACUGAGACUAGGACACGGCCCAGACUCCUACGGGAGGCAGCAGUGGGGAAUAUUGGACAAUGGGCUAAAGCCUGAUCCAGCAAUGCCGCGUGAGUGAUGAAGGCCUGAGGGUUGUAAAGCUCUUUUACCCGGGAUGAUAAUGACAGUACCGGGAGAAUAAGCUCCGGCUAACUCCGUG
rnacentral:rRNA from 1 species